GAUGAACGCUGGCGGCGUGCCUAAUACAUGCAAGUCGAGCGAACGGACGAGAAUCUUGCUUCUCUGAUGUUAGCGGCGGACGGGUGAGUAACACGUGGAUAACCUACCUAUAAGACUGGGAUAACUUCGGGAAACCGGAGCUAAUACCGGAUAAUAUUUUGAACCGCAUGGUUCCAAAGUGAAGGACGGUAUUGCUGUCACUUAUCGAUGGAUCCGCGCUGCAUUAGCUAGUUGGUAAGGUAACGGCUUACCAAGGCAACGAUGCAUAGCCGACCUGCGAGGGUGAGUGGCCAAACUGAAAGGGAGAACGGCCACAGAUGCACAGGGAUGGCAGCCAUAGUCAUUCGGGAGGCAGGGGUGAAGGAUAGAGGACGAAACGCGGAGCGAGGAUGCAGGGUCGCCGCGUGAAAAAUGACGGUUUUCGGGGAGUAAAAUUCUUGUAAGAAACACGAAACCUCUGACGGUAACUAAAGAAGAAGGCCCGGCUAACUACGGG
rnacentral:rRNA from 1 species